GGGAUACUGGUCUAAAGGUAUGAUUCUCGUUUCGGGUACGGGAGAUUCUGGGUUCAAUUCCCGGGUAUCCCC
rnacentral:tRNA from 1 species